rnacentral:lncRNA from 1 species
CCCGUCAUCUACUCUACCAUCUUUGCAGGCACACUCAUCACAGCGCUAAGCUCGCACUGAUUUUUUACCUGAGUAGGCCUAGAAAUAAACAUGCUAGCUUUUAUUCCAGUUCUAACCAAAAAAAUAAACCCUCGUUCCACAGAAGCUGCCAUCAAGUAUUUCCUCACGCAAGCAACCGCAUCCAUAAUCCUUCUAAUAGCUAUCCUCUUCAACAAUAUACUCUCCGGACAAUGAACCAUAACCAAUACCACCAAUCAAUACUCAUCAUUAAUAAUCAUAAUGGCUAUAGCAAUAAAACUAGGAAUAGCCCCCUUUCACUUCUGAGUCCCAGAGGUUACCCAAGGCACCCCUCUGACAUCCGGCCUGCUCCUUCUCACAUGACAAAAACUAGCCCCCAUCUCAAUCAUAUACCAAAUUUCUCCCUCAUUAAACGUAAGCCUUCUCCUCACUCUUUCAAUCUUAUCCAUCAUGGCAGGCAGUUGAGGUGGAUUAAACCAAACCCAACUACGCAAAAUCUUAGCAUACUCCUCAAUUACCCACAUAGGAUGAAUAACAGCAGUUCUACCCCAUCAUCACCCUCCUUAACCUCUACUUCUACCUGCGCCUAAUCUACUCCACCUCAAUCACACUACUCCCUAUAUCUAACAACGUAAAAAUAAAAUGACAGUUUGAACACACAAAACCCACCCCAUUCCUCCCCACACUCAUCGCCCUUACCACACUGCUCCUACCUAUCUCCCCUUUUAUGCU